CUAAGAGCCCGAUUUAAAGUGACGCUUUUGCCUUCUAUAUUUUCUUAAAUUACGUCUCUGACACUAGCAGAUUCAUACUGCUCUUUCCUCUUUCUGGAAGUAUCUAUCUGCAGCUACAACAUCUCUACACCGACAUCAACUCUUCCACUUCCGAAAUCAGAUCCUAACAUCACAUAGACGGACAUAAAAGCAGCGAGAGCAUAGAAAUUGAAAUCAGCAGAGACGAAACAGCUCAGAAACGUGAGAAGCAUCCAAGAGAGGUAGAGGGUUUUUAGGCUAUGUAGAAAUCUUAUGGUAAGAACCUUCUUCUCAUUCUUUCUUCUUCUCAUGAUCAGACUAAUCGGUGUUGGUUUGGUUGGGAAGAGGUGGGUGCGAAUAUUUGGAUCCACUUUGGGAAGGAGUUUUCAGCAAAAGAAGAGCUUUUAUUUUCAGCAAAAGCAAAAUAAGAAUUGGGUUUCUUUUCUUGCCUGGGUUUAACUUUUCAACAGUUCCAAGAUCCAAAAUUUUGGAGACUCUCAGGGAAAAGGGUUGGGCUGGAAACAAAUAGAACAGCUGCUUGGGGGUUGCUUAUAUUCAAGAAUUGGGAAAACCCGCCUCUUUUGACACUUUACUGCACAUUUCCUGCUCAAAAUUUCAAACUUGCUACUACUAAGUUUACUCUUUUGAGGCCAUUCACUAGACUGCACAAAGGAAAUCUGUUUCAGAAUUUAAAAGCAAAUUACUAAUACAACUCAAAGAGGACAACUCAUCUGAGGUUCCCAUCUGAUCCCUGGGAUGGCAUCGCUGAAUUAGCUAAUGAUUUGAUUCGAGGAAUGCUCUGUGAAGGUCCUUCAAAAAGGCUCACCGCUCACCAGGUUUUAGGUAGUUUAAGUAACGAUUGCAGUAACAGAGUUUGCUCAAAUAAACACGUUCCUUGAGAAUCUGAGAUCAUUCUAGCUAGCAUUUGUAAAUAUGAUACGAGUUAAAGUUGAAUGUUUGUAGUAUGAGGUUUGAUAUGAAUUUUUUUUAAGGGUAUCAUACCAUAUCCCAGUACACUUCCAAGUUUGGAAUACAAGUCUUCUUUCAUUUGUUUCUUUCUUCACCUUGAUGCAGAAGCUAGAGCCUGAAAUUUGAAUACCAAACUACGACUUCUUGGAAGAAUACCUCAAAA